rnacentral:lncRNA from 1 species
CUUGAGCCACUUCAAUUCUUCCUGUAGUAUUUGCACUUUUCCUUGUUCCAUAGUCAUCUAAUUUAUAAAAUACAUGUAGAAUUCAUGUAAUGUAUACUGCAGACUGGUCUAUACUAUGCUAUGGAAGGUAAGGUCCACAUGCAGGAGGAGUAAAGUAACCCACAGGAAAUGUUUUCCCAUCAGUUCAGAACAAAAGGCCUUAGCAACUAUCUGUUGUUUACUACUAUUUAUAUUUACAACGACUGUUUUUUGCCAUUGUUAAUUUUUUGCUUCCUCUUUCCUCAUGAUGCCGGAUCUGAGGGAAACAGUGAUUGUAAAAAUUAUCUGCUGAGCCCUGCAGCAUCACCUGUUCUGUUGACUGUGCAGAGCAAUUUUCAGUGUUGUUAACUAUGCAAUGUCUUUGUCUUUACAGAUGCAGAGAGGACACACUUGCUCAAUUCUGUGACUAAUAUUUGAUCUGACCUGUUAGUUGGAAUUUAAAUUAUUAAAAGUAACAAUGGAAACAAUGUAAGCGAAGCCGUGUUAAGCACUGCCAAUCACCUCACUCCUCUGCUGUGGUUCUUGCAAGUAGUCAGUGCUGGAAUUGACCCUAUUCAUCACCCUGUUCCUCUUGUAACCCCUGAGCAAAAGGCAGGUAUCUCUAGUGCUCUGUUUGCCUGGUUGAAACUUCCAAUCCAUUUCAUUUGAUCUCAGUGCUCAUUCUGACAUGAUCAAUCACCCUCUGCUUUCUGAGUGCCUGCAGCAAGGAGCUGUGCUCGCCACUGCUGCUCUCUCCUGGUUUUACCUUCUUUCUCUCACCACUUGUUUUCCAUGAUUAAUAAAAUUAAUGCUGUUUUCUCUCUUGCUCUUUUCCAGUGGAGUGUUACAAGGCACUGGCCUUGACCUGCUUCUCCCUUUAUUUGCUGCUCCUCAUGUUGCAGACAAGCUGGAUCUGAACCUUCUGGACACCAAGUCUCAUGACAGAAAUGAAGUGAGAGUAUGUUAUGUAAGUAAUUUAUUUGUGCAUCUUUGGUAUUGCAGCACUAAUAGGCUUGCUGCCAGGUAUUCCAGGCUGCAGUUUGUCAUGUCUGACUCUUUAGUCUUUUCAAGCAAUUGAAGAAAUGGCCUUCUGUGGGCUGUCAGUGACAGAUACCAGCUCACUCACAUAGAUAAAGCUCAAUUAGCUCCUGGAGAAAGCAUCUUUUAAAAAUGUAAUGAGCUGCACCAGGGAAGAUAGGUAGACAAGUGUUAUACAAAAACUAAAUAAAAUGUUAACACGGACAAACA